AGGGCGGCGAGUAGGGGAGGAGGAGGCGGCGACAUUGGGCGCCGGAGGGAUGAGGAGGAGAAGAAGAGAGGCGGCGGAGGAGGAGGAGGGACCGGAGCUGCGGCGGCCUUAACGGCGGCAUCGCUUCGUGAGACGGCGGCGGAGGGAGUGCGCGACGGUGGCGACGCCGGUUGCAGGGAUUGGAGCUGGAGUGAGAAGUGAAGAACCCUA
rnacentral:lncRNA from 1 species